rnacentral:rRNA from 1 species
UAUUGGACAAUGGGCGAAAGCCUGAUCCAGCCAUGCCGCGUGUGUGAAGAAGGUCUUCGGAUUGUAAAGCACUUUAAGUUGGGAGGAAGGGCAUUAACCUAAUACGUUAGUGUUUUGACGUUACCGACAGAAUAAGCACCGGCUAACUCUGUGCCAGCAGCCGCGGUAAUACAGAGGGUGCAAGCGUUAAUCGGAAUUACUGGGCGUAAAGCGCGCGUAGGUGGUUUGUUAAGUUGGAUGUGAAAUCCCCGGGCUCAACCUGGGAACUGCAUUCAAAACUGACUGACUAGAGUAUGGUAGAGGGUGGUGGAAUUUCCUGUGUAGCGGUGAAAUGCGUAGAUAUAGGAAGGAACACCGAUGGCGAAGGCGACCACCUGACUAAUACGACACUGAGGUGCGAAA